CCCUUAGAUGUUCUGGGCCGCACGCGCGCUACACUGAUGCAUGCAACGAGUUCUAUCCUUGGCCGGAAGGCCUGGGUAAUCUGUGAACGUGCAUCGUGAUAGGGAUAGAUUAUUGCAAUUAUUAAUCUCGAACGAGGAAUUCCUAGUAAACGCAAGUCAUCAGCUUGCAUUGAUUACGUCCCUGCCCUUUGUACACACCGCCCGUCGCACCUACCGAUCGAAGGUAAUGAUGAGCCCUCAGGAUUGUGGCCUCGUCGCGUCAGCGUCUUGGCUGCGAGAAUCUGUGCAAAUCCCUACCUUUAGAGGAAGGUGAANUCGUANCA
rnacentral:rRNA from 1 species